GAUGCGCCUUAAUCCAAUUAUGAACCCUAUUGUUGGUGGCCCCUCUAGGUCUGAUCCUUGAGGAAUGAGCGAAAUUUUCUUUUGUAAAAAGUGAAAUUUUGUCAAUUCCAUAAGUUGAGUAAAUAUCGUCCGAUCUGGAUGAAUAAUACAUAGUUAGAUGCCCCUUAGCUCAAACAUGAACCCUAUUGAUGGUGGCCCAUCUAGGUCCUAUCCCUGAGAAAUGAAUGACAAGUUUGGUAAA